rnacentral:rRNA from 1 species
UACAGAGGUGGCAAGCGUUGUUCGGAAUUACUGGGCGUAAAGGGCGCGUAGGCGGUCUUAUAAGUCUCGUGUGAAAUCCCUCGGCUUAACUGAGGAACUGCACGGGAUACUGCAAGACUUGAGAUCGGGAGAGGGAAGCGGAAUUCCGGGUGUAGCGGUGAAAUGCGUUAGAAUAUCCGGGAGGAACACCGGUGGCGAAGGCGGCUUCCUGGGACCGACAUCUGACGCUG